rnacentral:rRNA from 1 species
CUUACCGGGUCCGGACACACUGAGGAUUGACAGGUAUUAUAUAAUUGCUCUUCGGAGCUUUUAUUGUUAAAUAUGCUAGUCCUUUCAUGAUUAUGUGAUAGGUGGUGCAUGGCCGUUCUUAGUUCGUGGAGUGAUCUGUCUGCUUAAUUGCGUUUCACUAUAGGUCCUAUAUUCUUAAAAUGUGUGCAGUGCAUUGACCCCUUGUUUUUAACAAGCGCGUGUCUUUGUGCUCACACUUUCAUUAGGUCCUGAAAGCAACGAACGUGACCGCAACCUCUUGUUGCCUCAUUUCAAACGCGUACAUACACUGGUUUUCUAAGUAUUACGCUUAUUGAGGCUUUUUUAAACUAGAGGGACCGCUGUCAACUUCUUAAACCAGAGGAAGGUUGCGGCAAUAACAGGUCUGUGAUGCCCUUAGAUGUUCCGGGCUGCACACGUGCUACAAUGAUUGUUGCAGUGAGCAUCUCAAUUUUUUACCUAACACCGCAUACGUGAGUUAAACUUUAGCUUUCGGGUUAUUGUUGUACUUUACGCAGCGGUAAAGCCUGCUUCGAGAGCAAGUGGGUAAUCAAUUAGAAGUAACGAUUUCCCUUUUUAGCACACUUAUAUACGGCGUUUAUGCCCGGGUUUCACUUGUUGGAGCUUUUGUGCGUGUAGAUGUUUUUUCCGUAUGUGCGAUUGUCAAUUCAUGG